ACCCGAGCCUAGGGCAGCAGCCGUUCACCUUUCCGCCCGGUGGGCCCAGACGCGCCGCAGCGCCCGCCUGCCCCAAGCGCUCACCCAGGGUCAGAACUUGCUCAAGUCUCUCUUGAAAGAUGCCUUGUCACUGCCACUUGGGUAUCGUCACCUGCAGGAAAGCUAGGGGUGCGCCUAGUUCUGGAGGUGCACGAAAAGAGCAGUGGGAUUCAGGAAAAAGAUGUGCGCUAGCUUGGAGCGCACUCAGAUAAAUUUCUCCAACUUCGCAUCAACUGAGGCCCAGGGCUCAGUGGCGCUUCUAGCUUUUAUGGCUAGUGUCUAUGCGUGGGUUGUUCUUGGGUUCGGACGCGUAUCCGAGGUUGCUGAGAAGUGUCCCACCGACAAGAAAGGCCCAUUCUCCAGUGCCGCGAGGAGCCUGUUGGGGCGAAGGAACGCAUGAGGCGGUGACAGCUGCAGAUGUACAGACCCCGGGCAUCCUCACCUGUGGUACUAGGAGGGUCUCUUCCUCUGCUUUCCUCAAAGGGCCAACCCCUCUGCCUUCCUGGUCCCACUCCAUUUCUUAGUCACUUGUCCCCCAAGAAGAACUUUUCCUGGGUCAGGAAUAUGCCCAAGCGAUUUCGUCCCGGUCACAUGAGAUGUGCAUGUUUUACGCACAUUUCCAGUCUUUCCCCUCAGGAACUAGCCCACUUCCCCUUGUUUCCCUCCAGAAAUCCAUCCUCUCUUCCCCUCAAAAAUACAUCAGCUAAUCACACCCAUCACCUCCUCCCCCCGCCCCCCGCCAUGGUUCCAUUUACUGAAAAAUAUUACACUUCGGUACCUCUUAAAGUUCAUUAAACCUGGUACCUUGGGUCUCCCUGGUUACAAUCUUGCAUCAUAGAAAAUUAGUAGAAAACUUGCCACCAGUGAGUUAAUGCGAGCAGCUGCUGGGCUUUGAUACUGCCACAUGCUUGAGGGGCGACGCUGUCUGCUGGGGGCCAAAUCGUUUACACAAGGCAAGUGUGCCGGCCUCGCAUAAUGAGCUGCAGGAGCAGAGUCCUGCCUAGGACGUGUAGCAUCCGGAGAAUAUCUGCGCUCACCUAUCUCGCCUGAGAUCCCAAAUAUACCACCAGCAGCGUUGCCCUGUUAUUUUCAUUGUCUCAGGUGUCUAGAGGAUGGCGGGGACCAAGUCUUUGAUGUUGUUAAUGGGAUUAAUGGGGACAGCAAACUGGGACAGCCAUCUGGUUUGAAUUAGGAAAGAGUAUUGAUUAAUCUUUGAGAAGUGUCACCAAGGCAGAACCUUUUCCAUAGCCUUGUCCCUCAGGCUUCAGCUUGACCAUCUCCCUUUUCUUUUAAGUGGCCCUGUAGAAUAGUGUCUUCGCAAUAAACCUUUACAUCCGUGUGAAAGUUCGAAUUGUUUUCCAGUGCUCAGAGGUGGGAUGGGGUGGGGGUGAUCAGGAAUUCUGAGAUUUGUAAGCGCGGCUUUCUUUAACGGAAAUUGAGCCCUAUUUUGAGGGAAAUUAGUUUUGCAGACUUCGUUUAAAAAAAAAAAAAAAAAAAAAAGGCUAAAACUUUUGUUCACCAGCUGCUCAACUUUCCAGUCUGGGUCUGAGCUGGAACCUGCUGCAAGCGUUUGACGGUACUAACUUACAUAUAGAUCUGUCAAGAUGAUGUAAGACCUGAAAUCUCUCUGUAAGUUGAUCCUCCUGACCCCAUGAUUAGGAGCUUCACAAUGUGGUACCACACCUGUUAAUCUCCAGAACAAGAUCUCAAGGAAACACAGGAAAUUCCUAGAGUGGCAAAACAUCCUAUUUGAAGACAUUCAGUUAUCCCUCUGUGCAUUAGGAGUAUCGUCUUUAGUUAACUAGUGAUAUGUAUGAAAGAGUUAGGUUAGCAACAGCUCUUGCCAAAAAAAAAAAAAAAUAUUCAGGUGUAUUAUUCAUGAUGAACGAGACAAUGCUGUCACAAUCUUAUUGACUUAGCAAAAAUUUAGUUCUUAUUCCUGCAAACUGAUGUAAGAAAGUCAGCUCUCCAGACAGAUACUGACCUUGUGAAUUAGUCAUCUCAACAUGUUCCUCCAAAACAAAACUCCACAGCAGGGGAGGAUAGAGGGUCACACACCUGCCCUUAUGUACUAUGAUGCAGAGGUGAUACAUGUCAUUUUUACUCUCAGCUUGUAGAGCCAGAACAAAGCCUGAUAUGCCCACAAGGGGUCUGGAAAAUAUUCUGGAGCACAUGGCUAUUUGGUGAACAGUAAAUGUUUCUGCUACACCAGGCUUUAGCAGACUUCAAAUUUGUUCCUAACAAGCCUAAUUCACACCACUGUCUAUACCUUGAGUCUUCCUGGAAUCUUAUGUUGAUGUUUUUCUAGCACAGCAUCUGGCACAGAGUAAGUACUCAAUAAAUACACUGAGCAGAGCACUUAGACCAUUUUUCACUCUAUCAUUGGACUUUAGCACCAAUGAAUCUGCAAUAUCAUAUCAGGAAAGUGUAAUUGCAACUCUAACUGCAAAGAAAAUUUAACUGAAAAAAUGAUCAGCCUUGCUUCAGUUUUAUUUUGUUUUGCUUUUUGUAGUUUUUGCUUCGUUUCUUUGUUCCAGAGCAGAGAUUCAUUCCUAACUGUCACUGCAGCUAGAACAAUAGUAUCCGCACACAAUUAAGAGUGAUUCAAGUUCUUGGGAAAUGUUCUUCAAAUAUCUGUACUUGCAUUGGUAUACACAUCUCUUAAGUGUAAACUAGAUUCAUUUCCUGUCAGAUACUGUAUUUUAUUUUCAAUCAAUACUGUCCAUUCUGUAAUGGUUCACUGAAUAGACUUGAGGAUGACAUUUUAGGUUGUGCCUUGUAUUUGUCAAUUAAUAGCACUUUGAUUGUGUUAGAUUAAUAAACUUUUUCCAUCUAGGUUUUCUUAUUUCUAAAUAAAAAUGUUUAUUUCUACACCUUCAUGUUGACAAAUGAGAUUAAAUAAAUUAGCAAGUCAAUCUGCAUCUAGAAAUGUAUGUGUAUGUUAAGUGAUGGAUAUUAUCAUGAUGAUAAUUUUCAUGAUCAUCUAUCCUAAGGAUCUUACUCUAAAAAGAAGUCCCUGAAGAAAUUUUGAAAGUAUUUACUUAAACAUUUCCAUUCAUUCCACUUUCUCCCCAAUUAACAGUCUAGUAUCUUGAAAUAUCUUGUCCUAGGACAAGAUUUGUUAAAUGAGUAAAUGAUACACUAACAAUAAAUGUAACUUUAAUCUCAAUAUUUUGUAAAUUAUGCUUACAUUUAGGUUGCACAUGUUUCACUUGACUUUUCUACCUGCUUCAAAACAUGAUUAAAAAAAAAAAAAAAAACAACCUCUCAGCAUAUAAAACCUAGAAAUUGGG